GAUUUUUGGUUAAGUUAUUAAGGGCACACGGUGGAUGCCUUGGCACCAAAAGGCGAUGAAGGACGCGGCUACCUGCGAUAAGCGUCGGAUAGGUGGAAACAACCUGUAACCCGGCGAUCUCCGAAUGGGGCAACCCUCCGAGAGUCAUGUCUCGGAACUCCCUGCUGAAUUCAUAGGCAGGGUAGAGCAAACAAGGGGAAGUGAAAUAUCUCAGUACCCUUAGGAAGAAAAAGUAAAUCAACGAUUCCGUUAGUAGUGACGAGCGAAAGCGGAACAGCCUAAACCUUCUGAUACGUUAAAGGGUGAAACCGUUGUAUCGGGGGUGUUGUGGGGCGUUGUAGUCCGAUUUUCACAUAGGACGGAGAGUAAAAAAUCAUUGUGUUAGCUGAAGCGCCUGGAACGGCGCGCCAUAGAAGGCGAAAGCCCUGUAAGCGAAAAUGCAAUGACUCUCUCGCAGCGUUCCCAAGUACCACGGAAUAAGUGGAAGUCUGUGGGAAUCCGCAAGAACCAUCUUGCAAGGCUAAAUACUCUUUGGUGACCGAUAGUGAACAAGUACCGUGAGGGAAAGGUGAAAAGCACCCUUAAGAAGGGGGUGAAAUAGUACCUGAAACCGUGUGCUUACAAACGGUCGGAGCAGAUCCCGUUUCUUCGGAAACGGGACGAGUGACGGCGUGCCUUUUGCUUAAUGAGCCUACGAGUUAGUCGUAUGUUGCAAGGCUAAUGGACUAAGUCCAGCAGCCGUAGCGAAAGCGAGUCUGAAUAGGGCAACUUAGUAACAUGCGCUAGACGCGAAACCCGGUGAUCUAUCCUUGACCAGGAUGAAGUGGGGGUAAAACCUCAUGGAGGUCCGAACCAGUGUGGGUUGAAAACUACUUGGAUGAGUUGAGGAUAGGAGUGAAAAGCUAAUCGAACUGGGUGAUAGCUCGUACUCCCCGAAAUAACUUUAGGGUUAGCCUCGGGUAAAGUCUGUCGGAGGUAGAGCACUGAUUGGGCUAGGGUCGUCACAACGAUACCAACCCCAGACAAACUCCGAAUUCCGACAUGAUGUUUCCCGGGAGUUAGGCAACGAGGGAUAAGCUUCGAUGCCAAGAGGAGAACAAUCCAGACCAACAGCUAAGGUCCCCAAGUCGAAGUUAACAGAGAAAGGAUGUUGAGUUGCAGUGACAACUAGGAGGUUGGCUUAGAAGCAGCCAUUCCUUGAAAGAGUGCGUAAUAGCUCACUAGUCAAGCGACUCAGCGCCGAUAAUUCUCGGGACUCAAACUUCGCACCGAAGCUUUGGGUUGUCCCGUUUUACGGGACAGCGGUAGGGGAGCAUUCCAUUCAGCGACAGUGGUAACACAGUCCGCCGCAAGGCGGGGAAGGUGCGCAGCGAUGCGUGCUGGAGCGAAUGGAAACGCAGAUGUAGGCAUGAGUAACGAUAAUGUAACUGAGAAUGUUACACACCGAAAAUCUAAGGUUUCCUGAGCAACGUUCGUCGUCUCAGGGUUAGUCGGAUCCUAAGCUGAGGCCGAAAGGCGUAGGUGAUGGAAAACAGGUUCAAUAUUCCUGUACCUGUUUGCAAUCGUUUGACCGUAAGGGGUGACGCAGAAGUGAUCGUCGAGCCAGCUGUUGGCUUAGCUGGUUUAAGCUUGUAGGCGUGGAGUGUAGGCAAAUCCGCAUUCCAGUUAUCGCCGAGAAGUGAACAGGGUGCCCGCAAGGGCCACAACUCGACAUAAGCAUGCUGCCAAGAAAAACCUCGUACGUAGAUUGCAGGCAGUCCGUACCGCAAACCGACACAGGUAGAUGAGAAGAGUAUUCUAAGGUGCUCGAGUGAGCCAUGGUCAAGGAACUCGGCAAAUUAGCCCCGUAACUUCGGGAUAAGGGGUGCCUACGGUACGUGAGGGUGUACAACCCAAGCGGAUGUAGGCCGCAGUGAAAUGGGCCAAGCAACUGUUUAACAAAAACACAUCACUCUGCUAACACGUCAAGUGGACGUAUAGGGUGUGACACCUGCCCGGUGCCGGAAGGUUAAGGAAGGGGGUCAGCGCAAGCAAAGCUCUCGACCGAAGCCCCGGUAAACGGCGGCCGUAACUAUAAACUUAAACUGCAUGGACCCCUCGCAUGAAUAAUGCGGGACGCAGUGUUGUAGUUGUAAAAUUUGGCUAUAUGCUGGAAACUCCGUAGUAUCUUGUGCUACUCAUUCCGUCUCAAGCGGAGUAGUGACAAUGCACAAGUGGCGUUGAAUGAACAAUUCAAACAGCGGACAAUCAGCAGGAAAGGCUUCAAAUGCUUAAUGUUAACAACGUUCCCUCACCUAUCGGAUAUUACCUUGCUGGUUUUACCGAUGGUGAAGGAAGCUUCAAUAUUUCUUUCCGACCUCGACCUGACUAUCGCAUUCCAUGGAAAGUUUCGGCAUGUUUCAACAUCUCGCAAAAGGAUAAGGUCAUUCUGGCCUUAUUCAAGAAACAUUUGCAAUGUGGAACAUUACGUUCGAGACCUGAUGGAGUGUGGUAUUAUGAAGUAAACAAUCUCACCGCAAUUUCAGAACAUGUGAUACCGUUUUAUGAACGGUUCGGAUUUCUUUCUUCUAAAAAGAAAAAAGAUUUUCAAGCCUUCAAAAAGGUUGUAUCGCUGAUCAACAGCGAUGCGCAUUUAACAGAAGACGGCAUCAAAACAAUUUUGAAGCUGCGCAACGAGAUGAAUGAUGGUGGAAAGAGAAAGUAUCAAGACGUUGAUAUCAUAAAUGCAAUUGGAGAAUCCUCAGAGACUAUACGCCAAAUCCCGUUACGCUAAAGCGUGAUGGGAAUGAUAUAGUCCGUCCUCUACAGCGAUGUAGAGAUCUUGUUCCUCCGUUUCAGGAACAGGACAUUCUGAACAAUCAGGAUGUAACAACGAGAACGGUCCUAAGGUAGCGAAAUUCCUUGUCGGGUAAGUUCCGACCUGCACGAAUGGUGUAAUGAUUUGGUCACUGUCUCGACCAUGGGCUCGGUGAAAUUGUGGUACCGGUGAAGACGCCGGUUACCCGCAUAUGGACGGAAAGACCCCGUGAAGCUUUACUAUACCUUGGCAGUGGAUCCGGACAAAGCAUGUGUAGCAUAGGUGGGACGCUUUGAAGCGAGGACGCUAGUCUUCGUGGAGCGGCCAGUGAAAUACCACCCUUGUUCUGUUUGGCUUCUAACCUCGUACCGUGAAUCCGGUGCAGGGACACUGCCAGGCGGGUAGUUUGACUGGGGCGGUCGCCUCCUAAAUUGUAACGGAGGCUCCCAAAGGUACCCUCAGCAUGGUUGGUAAUCAUGCGUCGAGUGUAAAGGCAUAAGGGUGCUUAUCUGUGAGACAAACAAGUCGAACAGGUGCGAAAGCAGGGCUUAGUGAUCCGAUGGUAGCACGUGGAAGUGCCAUCGCUCAAAGGAUAAAAGCUACUCCGGGGAUAACAGGCUGAUCUCGCCCAAGAGUUCAUAUCGACGGCGAGGUUUGGCACCUCGAUGUCGGCUCAUCGCAUCCUGGGGCUGGAGAAGGUCCCAAGGGUUUGGCUGUUCGCCAAUUAAAGCGGUACGUGAGCUGGGUUCAGAACGUCGUGAGACAGUUCGGUCCCUAUCCUAUGUGGGCGAAGGAUAUUUGAGGGAAGUUGCUCCUAGUACGAGAGGACCAGAGUAAACGGACCUACGGUGUACCUGUUGUCACGCCAGUGGCAAACGCAGGGUAGCCAUGUCCGGUCGGGAUAAGCGCUGAAAGCAUCUAAGUGCGAAACCCAUCCCAAGAUUAGAUAUCCCAGCUAUUUAUAGCUCUUAAGACCCGUAGAAGAUGACUACGUUGAUAGGCCACAGAUAUAAAGGCAGUAAUGUCUGAGUCGAGUGGUACUAAUAGGUCGUGAGGCUUAACCAAUAAUUAUUAUUG
rnacentral:rRNA from 1 species